GACGCCCAUGGCGGACGGUGACCGCCGAACAUAUGUCGUUAUUAAAGUUGUUGUUUGGUUGGCGUUGAGAGAGGUCUGCACGCACCAGCGCCGAAUUGAAGCGGGGCCAUGGCGGAUCCAGUGACAGUAAUUUUUUUUUCGUGAACGUUGACCAUGUAACCUGGUGGGAUCGACCUCAACUUUAACAGCUCGGAUGUGGAUGGUUGGAGGAGACGAAGAGAUCGGAUUGGAUAUCGAAGGAAGCUAAAGGAUGCAUCAUGAAUUAGCAUUAGAAAAGGUUCUGAAAUAAUGGGAGUUCCAGGGAAGACGGGGAAUAUCUCUGGUGAAGAGAACUAAAGAGAGAAACAUAGAGCAAUACAUGUUACCAUCUUAAGAUAACCACAUUUAGUUUUUAUUAUCUGUAUUUCACAAAUUUGUUAUUUUUUUUAAUCUUUGAUUCAAUGGAUUUACUGUGACAAAUUCUAACGAGCUUAUAU